rnacentral:tRNA from 1 species
UCCCUUGUAGCUCAGUCGGUAAAGAAUCUGCCUGCCAUGCAGGAGACCCAGGUUCAAUUCCUGUGUCAGGGA